rnacentral:rRNA from 1 species
CCUACGGGCGGCAGCAGUGGGGAAUAUUGCGCAAUGGGCGAAAGCCUGACGCAGCGACGCCGCGUGAGGGAUGAAGGUCUUCGGAGCGUAAACCUCUGUCAGCAGGGAAGCACGGUCACUGUGCUAAUCAGCAGUGAAUUGACGGUACCUGUCGAAUAAGCCACGGCUAACUACGUGCCAGCAGCCGCGGUAAUACGUAGGUGGCAAGCGUUGUCCGGAUUUACUGGGGGUAAAGGGCGUGUAGCCGGGCUGACAACUCAGAUGUGAAAUCCGGGGGCUCAACCCCCGAACUGCAUUUGAAACUGGUGGUCUUGAGUAUCGGAGAGGCAGGCGGAAUUCCUGGUGUAGCGGUGAAAUGCGUAGAUAUUAGGAGGAACACCAGUGGCGAAGGCGGCCUGCUGGACGACAACUGACGGUGAGGCGCGAAAGCGUGGGGAGCAAACAGGAUUAGAUACCCCUGUAGUC